AACGUAGGACGCAAGCGUUAUCCGGAGUGACUGGGCGUAAAGGGCGUGCAGGCGGCGGCUCAAGUGGCUCGUGAAAGACCCCGGCUCAACCGGGGGGGGUCGGGUCAGACUGAGGCGCUAGAGGCAGUCAGAGGGACACGGAAUUCCGGGUGUAGUGGUGAAAUGCGUAGAGAUCCGGAGGAACACCAGUGGCGCAGGCGGUGUCCUGGGGCUGCACUGACGCUGAGACGCGAAAGCAUGGGGAGCGAACGGG
rnacentral:rRNA from 1 species